GCUUGAUGUUGACAUUUUGUUGAAAAUUGAAAGGAGCUUGUUAGGGGAGAGGUUGGUGCAGAAAAUGAUCUAAAUAUCCACCAUCUUUGAAACCUACAAGACUUUCUCCCCACUGCCUCUGCAUUGGACCAGAUGGCAUUUCUUGUCCUUUUCUUCUGUGUCUUUUCCAUAAAGUAGAUCAUAAGGUUUCCUGCAUUUUUUCCAAAUG